CGCGGGGUGGAGCAGCCCGGUAGCUCGUCAGGCUCAUAACCUGAAGGUCGUCAGUUCAAAUCUGACCCCCGCAACCA
rnacentral:tRNA from 2 species